AUUGAACGCUGGCGGCAUGCCUUACACAUGCAAGUCGAACGACGCUAGGGGCAACUCUAGCGAGUGGCGUACGGGUGAGUAAUGCAUCGGAACGUGCCCUCUUGUGGGGGAUAACCAGUCGAAAGAUUGGCUAAUACCGCAUGAGCUCGAGAGAGGAAAGCGGGGGACCGCAAGGCCUCGCGCGAGAGGAGCGGCCGAUGCCCGAUUAGCUAGUUGGUGGGGUAAUGGCCCACCAAGGCGACGAUCAGUAGCUGGUCUGAGAGGACGACCAGCCACACUGGGACUGAGACGCGGCCCAGACUCCUACGGGAGGCAGCAGUGGGGAAUGUUGGACAAUGGGGGCAACCCUGAUCCAGCCAUGCCGCGUGUGUGAAGAAGGCCUUCGGGUUGUAAAGCACUUUCGGACGGAACGAAAUCGCGCGGGUGAACAAUCCGCGUGGAUGACGGUACCGUAAGAAGAAGCACCGGCUAACUACGUGCCAGCAGCCGCAGUAACAC
rnacentral:rRNA from 1 species